UUCAUGUAUCUGUAAUGCCUUGCAGUGUAUUAUCAUAAAUGAAGUAUAAAUAGAGUGUACAAGAUUAGGUUUGUUAGCUAGAGCUUAGCUGAUAUACAUUAUAGUUACACAAGAUAAUCCCUAUGAGAAAUACCUGCACUUAACACCUGAAGAUAGAUUAGCUUAGUCUAAUAAUAGAGAUCUAUACAAUUGAAGCUCUUUAGAUUUUAACAUGCUUUAGCAAUAUAAUUGACAGGUCCUUUGGAUUAUGUGCAUCUUUUCAAAACCUUGCUCUCAUAUGUAGAGAUUUCAGAAUAGGGAAAUUUACGUUUAUUAUGGAAACAAUAUCCCAUUAUUCAUUUUGAAGAUUUUGGGUAA
rnacentral:misc_RNA from 1 species